rnacentral:lncRNA from 1 species
AGCAACACUAUCCUCGGCUGUCUCCUGCCUGCAGACAGGGAUUUGGAUGCCUUUCGGAAGCUGGGAAAAGAAACCCCAUGGAACUUCUGCAUUUGGGACUGGAGUUUAAAACCCCUAGGAGCUAGACAACAGCCCUGGAGACCAGCCAGGCGAUGGAAGUGGUGUUGGUCUGGAUUCCAGGAGGUUAUGGGCAGAAUCUCUGCAUUGAUGCCGUGACUAUGGAAUCGAAUAUAAAGGAUGUGAACAGAUGGAUGUGCCAUUGCUGUAUUCUAUACCAGUUUAUUCCUAUGCCAGGUAUUUGUUUA